AUAAAUGUUUGUAGUGACUAAAUGGGAACUGCAGACUCUACUACAGAUGAGGCAGGAGGUGUCUGACAGAGUGGGCAGGUGAGUAGCUUGUGAGGUGCAUUGUCCUUUUGUCUAUACACUGCAAGUA